CAAUUCUGGUUGAUCCUGCCAGAGGUUACUGCUAUCGGGGUCCGACUAAGCCAUGCGAGUUGAGAGGGGUAAGCCCUCGGCAUAUUGCUCAGUAACACGCGGAUAACCUGCCCUUGGGUCCGGGAUAACCCCGGGAAACUGGGACUAAUACCGGAUAGACCAAAGAUACUGGAAUGUUCUCUGGUCCAAAACUCCGGUGCCCAAGGAUGGGUCUGCGGCCUAUCAGGUAGUAGUGGGUGUAACGUACCUACUAGCCUACGACGGGUAAGGGUUGUGAGAGCAAGAUCCCUGAGAUGGAUUCUGAGACAUGAAUCCAGGCCCUACGGGGUGCAGCAGGCGCGAAAACUUUACACUGCGGGAAACCGCGAUAAGGGGACCCCGAGUGCCAGCACCUAGUGCUGGCUGUCCCGCUGUUUAAAAAACAGUGGUUAGCAAGGGCCGGGCAAGACCGGUGCCAGCCGCCGCGGUAACACCGGCGGCCCGAGUGGUAGCCGUUAUUAUUGGGUUUAAAGGGUCCGUAGCCGGCUUAUUAAGUCUCUUGGGAAAUCUGGCGGCUUAAUCGUCAGGCGUCCAAGAGAUACUGGUAGGCUUGGGACCGGGAGAGGUGGGAGGUACUCCAGGGGUAGGGGUGAAAUCUCGUAAUCCUUGGGGGACCACCGAUGGCGAAGGCAUCCCACCAGAACGGGUCCGACGGUGAGGGACGAAAGCUGGGGGCACGAACCGGAUUAGAUACCCGGGUAGUCCCAGCUGUAAACGAUGCUCGCUAGGUUUCAGGUGCGGUGCGACCGCAUCUGGU
rnacentral:rRNA from 1 species